rnacentral:rRNA from 1 species
AUUCCUACGGGAGGCAGCAGUGAGGAAUAUUGGACAAUGGACGAAAGUCUGAUCCAGCUAUGCCGCGUGCAGGAUGACAGCCCUACGGGUUGUAAACUGCUUUUAUAUAGGAAGAAAAACUCCGACGUGUCGGGGCUUGACGGUACUGUAAGAAUAAGGAUCGGCUAACUCCGUGCCAGCAGCCGCGGUAAUACGGAGGAUCCAAGCGUUAUCCGGAAUUAUUGGGUUUAAAGGGUCCGCAGGCUGUUUUUUAAGUCAGAGGUGAAAUCCUGCAGCUCAACUGUAGAAUUGCCUUUGAAACUGAAAGACUUGAGUUAUUGUGAAGUGGUUAGAAUGUGUGGUGUAGCGGUGAAAUGCAUAGAUAUCACACAGAAUACCAAUUGCGAAGGCAGAUCACUAACAAUUAACUGACGCUCAGGGACGAAAACGUGGGUAGCGAACAGGAUUAGAUACCCUGGUAGUCCACGCCGUAAACGAUGGAUACUAGCUGUAUGUCUACUUCAGGUAGAUGUGUGGCCAAGCGAAAGUGAUAAGUAUCCCACCUGGGGAGUACGAUCGCAAGAUUGAAACUCAAAGGAAUUGACGGAAU